UUUAAUUAAAUUGAACUUUAUUUUUAAGUCAAAAAGCUUAAAUAUUAUAGAAAGACGAGAAGACCCUAUAGAGUUUAAUAUACUUGAUCUUUAUAUUUUUGAGGUUUAUAUUUUUUAAGAGUUUAAGUUUAUUUCGUUGGGGUGAUGUUGGAAUUUAAUAAACUUCUUUUUUUUAAGUCAUUGAUUAAUGAAUAAAUGAUCCUAGUUUUUAGAUUAAAAGAAUAAAUUACCUUAGGGAUAACAGCGUAAUUUUUUUGGAGAGUUCUUAUCGAUUAAAUAGAUUGCGACCUCGAUGUUGGAUUAAAGUUUAUUACUGGUGAAGAAGUUAGUAUAUUAA
rnacentral:rRNA from 1 species